GCCGGGGAGGCGGAGCUUUGCAGUGAGCAGAGAUCCGACCACCUUGCCUCAGCCUGGGUGACAGAGCAGACUCCGUCUCAAAAAAAAAAAAAAGAAAAAUAGUCUCAUGCCUUUUAUUUCACAUGACUUAAGUAUUCUUUGGGAAAUACAGUUUUAAAAUUAUUGGUAAAAAAAAAGUCUUUAAAGUUUAGACAUUUGUUCUAAAUUAAGUCAGAGGUUAAAUUGGCUAAGUGCUUUAAUGUCAUAAACUGCUUCUUUGACUUUGGAAAAUUGUUUAGUUUACCUGGUUUAGAGCCAUUCAUUAGAUUUCUAAGUGACACCUGGAACAGGUGGAGUGAGCCAUGUCUCCCAACUAUGUUGGAAAGAGACUUUAUCUGCAGUUCUGUCUUGUAUCGUAGACUCUGCCCCUGGUACGUAAUUAAAACUGCUUACACUGAAAAGAAACAGUACGUGUUUUUGAUUUUUAAAAGGCAUGGGAGGCCGGGCGCGGUGGCUCAAGCCUGUAAUCCUAGCACUUUGGGAGGCCGAGACGGGCGGAUCACGAGGUCAGGAGAUCGAGACCAGCCUGGCUAACACGGUGAAACCCCAUCUCUACCAAAAAAAUACAAAAAACUAGCCGGGCGAGGUGGCAGGCGCCUGUAGUCCCAGCUACUCAGGAGGCUGAGGCAGGAGAAUGGCGUAGACCCAGGAGGCAGAGCUUGCAGUGAGCUGAGAUCCGGCCACUGCACUCCAGCCUGGGCGACAGAGCAAGACUCCGUCUCAAAAAAAAAAAAAAAAAAAAGGCAUGGGAAUAUGGGUUUUUUAAAAAAUUGUUUUGUCUAAUUUAGAAAAUUUAAAUGACCUCAAGGUCACUUCAGGCCUCAUCCCUCCAUCCCCGCUUGAGCUGCCAGAUCCAGAAGAGGCAUUUGCAUGGCAGCCACCCAGAGCUGCCACCUCCAGAGCUGGCGAGGGCAGGAUGGAAACUGGGAGGGAAAGGGGGCAGAUGCUGGUUCAAGGAGUCUAAACCCACAAGUGCUGAGCAAACUUGCUGGGCUGCAAGUUUACCUGCAGCCCACGAGGUGACCCAGCAGUUCAACAAACUGCUAAGGACCUGAAAAUAGCACUUAAGCCUGGGCUACUUGCUGGGCCUGCAUCCACUCUAGGGUCACGCCCAGAGUCCUAGCACUGCGGACGCACCCCACAGUCCCUGGGGGGAAGCGCUGGGCUGGGAGGGGCCUGGAGCCUUGUCUAGGGUAUCACUUUUGCAAAUUCAUUUUGUUCAGCAGCACAGGAUGGCCGCUGAGGCCCGGGCCCUGGCCUGGGUUGGCAUUAGUGCGGCUCUACUGGAGCGGGCGCAGAGCUUUGGGAGUUCCCCACUUCUGGUCGUGUUUUGGCUUGUACAGCUUGGCUGCCUCCUUGUUCUGGGUGAUCCCGAGCUUGGUCUACUUGAAGGAUUCCAAGCACUUCCUCAUGGACCUGUGGAAGAUAUCCCAGUCCUGCUUCUUGUCCUCAGUUGGUGUGGCUGUAGCGAUGCAUGACCUCCUUCCCCGGCUUGCACAGGUACUGCUGCAGCGUGUGGUGCAUGACCGUGUGCUCCCUGUACCAAAUGCUCUGCCAUGCUGCCCCAGGGACUGAAUGUCCAGACAGACGGCGCUGAUGUUCUCCCUCAGGAGGUAGGAGACAGAGGCCACCAUAGUGGACGAUCGUGGUGUGAAGUCCACGUUUACCACAUUAUUAGCACUUGGGGAGCUGAUGAAGGCCAGGGACCUCAGGCACUCUCCCUUGGUCACUUAGCUGAUGGCAUCCUUCAGGUUCAGCUUGUGGAAGACAUUGAGGAUCCCAUCUGG
rnacentral:lncRNA from 1 species